rnacentral:rRNA from 1 species
GGUGAACGCUGGCGGCGUGCUUAAGACAUGCAAGUCGAACGGCAGUCUUCGGACUGUAGUGGCGCACGGGUGAGUAACGCGUAACUGACCUACCCCAAAGUCGCGGAUAACGAUUCGAAAGAAUCGCUAAUACGUGAUGUGCUGUCAGAUUGUGUUCUGCCAGUAAAGAUUGAUUGCUUUGGGAUGGGGUUGCGUUCCAUCAGCUAGUUGGUGGGGUAAAAGCCCACCAAGGCGACGACGGAUAGCCGGCCUGAGAGGGUGGCCGGCCACAGGGGCACUGAGACACGGGUCCCACUCCUACGGGAGGCGGCAGUUAGGAAUCUUCCACAAUGGGCGAAAGCCUGAUGGAGCGACGCCGCGUGAGGGAUGAAGGUCUUCGGAUCGUAAACCUCUGAAUCAGGGACGAAAGACACUUCGGUGGGAUGACGGUACCUGAGUAAUAGCACCGGCUAACUCCGUGCCAGCAGCCGCGGUAAAAC